rnacentral:rRNA from 1 species
AUGAAGGAGCAUGGGAUGACAAAUGAUGACGCAUGUGAAAAGAUAAAAGAACUUAUCGAGAACUCAUGGAAGGAUAUGUUACACCAUUAUCUCACAUUGACAGAUCAACCAAUGGUCGUGCCCCAAAUGAUACUUAACCUUUCAAGGACUGUGGAUAACAUGUACAAGCAUACCGAUGCAUACACUAAUUCAGAUAUACUAAAAGAUACAAUAAGGAUGCUUUUUGCUGAGCCAAUGUAA